GAUGAACGCUGGCGGUAUGCUUAACACAUGCAAGUCGAACGGUCUCUUCGGAGAUAGUGGCGGACGGGUGAGUAACGCGUGAGAAUCUGGCUUCAGGUCGGGGACAACCACGGGAAACUGUGGCUAAUACCGGAUAUGCCGAGAGGUGAAAGGCUUGCUGCCUGAAGAUGAGCUCGCGUCUGAUUAGCUAGUAGGUGUGGUAAAAGCGCACCUAGGCGACGAUCAGUAGCUGGUCUGAGAGGAUGAUCAGCCACACUGGGACUGAGACACGGCCCAGACUCCUACGGGAGGCAGCAGUGGGGAAUUUUCCGCAAUGGGCGAAAGCCUGACGGAGCAAUACCGCGUGAGGGAGGAAGGCUCUUGGGUUGUAAACCUCUUUUCUCAGGGAAGAAAAAAAUGACGGUACUUGAGGAAUAAGCAUCGGCUAACUCCGUGCCAGCAGCCGCGGUAAUACGGAGGAUGCAAGCGUUAUCCGGAAUGAUUGGGCGUAAAGGGUCCGCAGGUGGCUAUGUAAGUCUGCUGUUAAAGAACCUAGCUUAACUAGGUAAAAGCAGUGGAAACUACAAGGCUAGAGUGCGUUCGGGGUAGAGGGAAUUCCUGGUGUAGCGGUGAAAUGCGUAGAUAUCAGGAAGAACACCAGUGGCGAAGGCGCUCUACUAGGCCGCAACUGACACUGAGGGACGAAAGCUAGGGGAGCGAAUGGGAUUAGAUACCCCAGUAGUCCUAGCCGUAAACGAUGGAUACUAGGCGUGGCUUGUAUCGACCCAAGCCGUGCCGGAGCUAACGCGUUAAGUAUCCCGCCUGGGGAGUACGCACGCAAGUGUGAAACUCAAAGGAAUUGACGGGGGCCCGCACAAGCGGUGGAGUAUGUGGUUUAAUUCGAUGCAACGCGAAGAACCUUACCAAGACUUGACAUGUCGCGAAUCUCUCUGAAAGGAGAGAGUGCCUUCGGGAGCGCGAACACAGGUGGUGCAUGGCUGUCGUCAGCUCGUGUCGUGAGAUGUUGGGUUAAGUCCCGCAACGAGCGCAACCCUCGUUUUUAGUUGCCAGCAUUAAGUUGGGCACUCUAGAGAGACUGCCGGUGACAAACCGGAGGAAGGUGGGGAUGACGUCAAGUCAGCAUGCCCCUUACGUCUUGGGCUACACACGUACUACAAUGCUACGGACAAAGGGCAGCUACACAGCAAUGUGAUGCAAAUCUCACAAAACCGUAGCUCAGUUCAGAUCGCAGGCUGCAACUCGCCUGCGUGAAGUCGGAAUCGCUAGUAAUUGCAGGUCAGCAUACUGCAGUGAAUUCGUUCCCGGGCCUUGUACACACCGCCCGUCACACCAUGGAAGCUGGUCACGCCCGAAGUCGUUACCCCAACUGUUCGCAGAGGGGGAUGCCGAAGGCAGGACUGGUGACUGCUGUG
rnacentral:rRNA from 1 species